GACAGAGGGUGCAAACGUUGUUCGGAAUUACUGGGCGUAAAGAGCGCGCAGGCGGUUUUUUAAGUCGAAUGUGAAAGCCCCCGGCUCAACUGGGGAGGGUCAUUCGAUACUGAUCGACUCGAAGGCAGGAGAGGGUAGUGGAAUUCCCGGUGUAGUGGUGAAAUGCGUAGAUAUCGGGAGGAACACCAGUGGCGAAGGCGACUACCUGGCCUGUUCUUGACGCUGAGGCGCGAAAGCUAGGGGAGCAAACGGG
rnacentral:rRNA from 1 species